rnacentral:rRNA from 1 species
GACGAACGCUGGCGGCGUGCCUAACACAUGCAAGUCGAACGGGGUGAAGCCCUUCGGGACUUCACUUAGUGGCGAACGGGUGAGUAACGCGUGAGGAACCUGCCUUUCAGUGGGGGACAACAGUUGGAAACGACUGCUAAUACCGCAUAACACUUCUGAGUGGCAUCACUUAGAAGUCAAAGCUUUAUGUGCUGAAAGAUGGCCUCGCGUCUGAUUAGCUAGUUGGUGGGGUAACGGCCCACCAAGGCGACGAUCAGUAGCCGGUCUGAGAGGAUGAACGGCCACAUUGGGACUGAGAUACGGCCCAGACUCCUACGGGAGGCAGCAGUGGGGAAUAUUGGGCAAUGGGGGAAACCCUGACCCAGCAACGCCGCGUGAAGGAAGAAGGCCCUCGGGUUGUAAACUUCUUUUACCAGGGACGAAGGACGUGACGGUACCUGGAGAAAAAAGCAAACGGCUAACUACGUG